ensembl:miRNA gga-mir-1786 gga-mir-1786
UCUGCUCCCUGACUGCUUCUAAUUCCUUAACACAACAGGAAACAAAUUCAGCAUUAAAAUAUGAUUCUUUUCUGCUGUGUUACUGAAUUAAAAGUACUUCAAAGAGAGA